CAGUCGCCACGGUAAUACAGAGGGUGCGAGCGUUAAUCGGAUUUACUGGGCGUAAAGCGUGCGUAGGCGGCUUUUUAAGUCGGAUGUGAAAUCCCUGAGCUUAACUUAGGAAUUGCAUUCGAUACUGGGAAGCUAGAGUAUGGGAGAGGAUGGUAGAAUUCCAGGUGUAGCGGUGAAAUGCGUAGAGAUCUGGAGGAAUACCGAUGGCGAAGGCAGCCAUCUGGCCUAAUACUGACGCUGAGGUACGAAAGCAUGGGGAGCAAACAGGAUUAGAUACCCGAGUAGUCCCUGUCUCUUAUAU
rnacentral:rRNA from 1 species